GACGAACGCUGGCGGCGUGCUUAACACAUGCAAGUCGAACGGUGAAGCUCCAGAUUGCUGGAGUGGAACAGUGGCGAACGGGUGAGUAACACGUGAGCAACCUGCCCCUGACUCUGGAAUAAGCGCUGGAAACGGCGUCUAAUACUGGAUACGAGAAGGGUCCGCAUGGGCACUUUCUGGAAAGUUGUUCGGUUGGGGAUGGGCCCGCGGCCUAUCAGCUUGUUGGUGAGGUAAUGGCUCACCAAGGCGACGACGGGUAGCCGGCCUGGGAGGGCGACCGGCCACACUGGGACUGAGACACGGCCCAGACUCCUACGGGAGGCAGCGGUGGGGAUUAUUCCACAAUGGGCGGAAGCCUGAUGCAGCGACGCCGCGUGAGGAAUGACGGCCUUCGGGUUGUAAACCUCUUUCGGCAGGGAAGAAGCGAGAGUGACGGUACCUGCAGAAGAAGCCCCGGCUAACUACGUG
rnacentral:rRNA from 1 species